UUGAUAUUCAUAAUAAACUUCCAUCUUAACCUGUUAUGUUGAAACCAUAAAAAUGUGUACGAAGCAUUGAUUUUUAAACUAUAACAAGGAAAAAUAAUUCUCAAAUAUCCAAAUCUGACAGCCCAGGUACAUCAUCAGAUUCAUUUUCAGGGGCCGCAUCACUGCAGAACUUGCAAGAAAUUUUCUCUGGUUUCAACUGCAAGCAUUCGUCGAUCUGUUCCUCUAACCAAGCAUGUCUUCUUUCGAGCUUCAACACACCAAUAUGCAUAAUCCGAACGUCAACUUGUGCAAAUUUUGUAAUUCUUCUGACACUUGCGUCUAUCCAGUCUCAAAAUAAAUCCCAAUUUGAACUGACUCUUCUUCAACUUGUUUUGCUAGUCAUUUUACCAUAGACAUUCGAAAUAAACAAUCUUCAAUUACGUCAUUCCAAGCCCAAGGUCGGAGGAAAUUAUUGAAGCAAAUAUCUGAGCAAUCCCUUGGCUCCGGUAUUAUCUAAUGGUGCUUAAUUGUUGGUUAUAGACUUGGCCAGCUGCUAGUAACAAAACUUGAAACAAAAUAAACAAAGAACUCUUAGUCAUAAUCAAAAUCACCAAGAUACAUAUACACUUGGAUUUCACACUUGACCAGAUAAAAAGGCUACAGACACAAAUAUGUAAAAUAAUCAGUAUCCCAAAAGGCGAACUGCUUUGGCUCUGGCAAAAAAAUAACCAGAUUACUAAGGAUCCAUGCUGCGAGAAUUUGAAUACUAAGAUAAGUACAAUCAACCAAAAGUUUAUCAAUUUAAUAGUAAACGAUCUGAAUUGGAUAUCACAUCAUCAUAAUGAUACUAAAGAUUCUAAUCAUAUGAUGUCCAAGUUCAGGCAGAGUCAUUUCCAAAUAAAAAACCACGGACAUACAACAUGCCUUCAGAUUCAGAACUUAAAUCAGAAUUCUCCACUACAACUACUAAGUUCUCUUACUUAUAUGGGGGAAAUUUGUCAAGCAGAGAUCAUGUUUAACAUUUUGGUCCACCAGAAGGAGAGUUUUGACUGUUCAUUGGAGUCGAUUGCUGCAUAGGUACUCCCUGACUUUGGUUCCAGUCCUGUCUUUGAACAGGGUCUCUCCUUUCAACCUGCAUUGUUUCACGACGCCUGUCAUGCCGUGGCCGAGGUCUACUCCUAGUUGGUUGCCUCUCAGAAUAUCUAUACUGCGGCCUUGGAAUCACUUUCCCAUCAACAAAUAAGUCACCUGAAAAUUCAUGUUACAUGAUCAAAACAACCAAUAAUUUUAAAAAAAAAAAAAAGAAAGAAUGAUCAAACAAUCAAAUUACAUGUUGAUUAUGUCAGGGUCCAAAACUCACCCCCAUAGUCCUUGUUGGGAACAUCAAGAUAUGAAUCCGGCAGCACCCAAAGAACUCCAGGUAACUCUAUUAAGGCAGGAAAAAUAGCAAUAGUUAAGCAUAUGAAACAACACACAAUUAUACAGAAUGAAUGACAGGCAAAUAAAUGUGAAACACCAAUUCUGAUUAUCCAAAAAAAUAUAUAGAGAGAGAACAGAUACAGAUAUAGUAUUUUUUUGGUGACAGAUACAGAUAUAGUAUGAUACUUGUGCCCUAACUCCAAAAGGUAUUUAAAUUUAAACAUCACAGAAAUAAUUUGAGGAGUCUUUUAAAUACAAAGCAAUUAUGAUAUCAAAAAUGCUUUGCAAAUCAGAAUUUAACACAUGCAAGCAAUGAAAACAAAUCUAAUAAGCUUCGACAUUAAUGAAAGACAAGAGCUGAUGGGAAGAGGAAUCAGAAAGAAAGUAGCGGUAAAAACCUACCUUUAACUUUGUAAGAAAGCUCUUCGGAAAUGAGGGCGCCAAAACCAGUAUAUGUAGUAGUGGAAACAGAGUAUAUCUUCUUCUUAGCCUCUUCCUCACUACAUAGUUAGCAGAAAACUCAAAAAUCAAAACAGGAGGAAAGAAAAAAGAAGCAAAUUAGGCAUUGAGGUUGAGAAAGAAGGACCUUCCAAGAACUUGAGCUAGUGUUUUGACAUAGGCAUCAACCAUUUGUUGUUCGGAGGGUUUGGGAUUCUCGGGGAACUCCAUGACGAUGAGCCAGUGCUCGUAGUCGCAGCCAUCGAGAAGAAUAGUCUCCUUGGGCGGACGGUUGCUCCAAUUGGGAGAGGGAUCGUUCAGCGGCGAGUAACCCGAACCCGACGACUUGGUCCGAACCCGGUGGAGCCUCGCACAAUCAGGAACCGGUAGUGUUUGUUUGGCGGCACACAGAGCAAAAGGCAAGCGAGAACGAGAUCGAGAAACGGUUGCAGGUGCAGAGGAAGACGAAGAGAGAGCUCGUGAGAGCGUAGAUGCUAGGAUGCGCCGGGCGUUCCAGUACGCCAUUUGCUGUUCCUUGCUCCAGCCUAAGGAAGGGGUGAUGUUUUUUUGUAUUCCUCUUUUUGUUCUCUUGGACCCUUGGGCCGUUGGGCCACUUUGUCAACCCAAAUAAUUAAAGGAAGAAUCUCUUUAAACCCUAUCGUUAAUCUAACAACAAAAUAUUCAUUUCAUUCACAGUGACAACAAUCGAUAGCAACAAGAUCACACAUCUCAUAUCUUAUAAUCAUCAUCAAAUCCAAAAUCAAUAACAAGAAUCUGAAAUAAUAAUCUCUAUAUGACGCAUAGCAACACAAACACAAAGCAAAGAAAGUGCGAAAACAUACUGUAUCCAUUGUCAACAAGGUAAUUGAAGGCGUGAUUAUCGCAGUUGUAGGUGAACUUGUUGUUGGUAGCGGGUAGCUUCUGAAGGCACUGGAAAGCGAUGGAGUUGAAGUUCCCUGAAAAUUCAGUGUACUCGGCGAGAAUCACGGUCCCGCGAGAAACGAAAGCGUAGAUCAGCGACCUCUGAUUCUACCCCAUCGAUGAAUCGAAAUUCCGAAAAUUUGAACCAGUAACAAUAAAUCAGUGAAUUGAUGAUUUACAGCCUAAUUAAAAACUAAAUUCAACUAAUUAUACCAAAUCAAUAGCACCUAUGUAAGAAUCAAAUCAGUCAAUACAGCCUUAGACUUCAAAGGGAAUAAUUUUGAGUAUUUACCAUUUGGGGCAGGAAGAAGAAUAUGCCCUGGCAUGACUUUUGGUGUUGCCAGCGUUACACUUCCUUUGGCUCUCUUACUUUACCAUUUCAAUUGGGAACUCCCCAGUGGGAUGAAGCCUGAAGAUGUAGACAUGACUGAACUCGCUGGCUUGGCAAUUGGAAGAAAACAUGCCUUGUGUUUUUUUGGUGACUUUUUAAUUUUUUUUGGUGACUAAACAUGCCUUGUGUUUGAUUCCCACUGUUUAUAAUCCAUAACUUUAUCAUAAUGUUCUCAUUUAGUUUUUUGUUCUAGUUACCAACAUCUAUGUGAUGCCAUCAUAGUAUUGUAUGUUAGCUCUAGUAUUGCACUCGUAGAAAAACAAAUUAGGAUUCGCAGCCAAGUUAAUUUAUAGUAGUUCAUAAAUAUUUCUUUUAUGUCAUUUUUUAAUUAUACGGGUGUGGUUGGUCAUAAAGUUUAUACUCAUAGGGAGCUUCUAUGAUGCUGAAAGAAAAAUCCUUCAGCAGCUGUUGACGCUACAUGUCAUUUGGUGGGGCGAACACGUAUUCCGUUAAAGUGUUUCAUUAAUUAUUUUUGGAACAACUGCAGUCGAUGGCAGAUGGUUCAGUAUGAGAUCUUACGUUCGACCAUAGUGUGUCAUAAGUUGUGGUUAAGAAAUAGAUUAAAAUAUGAUAAUAACUUUAAUUUAAGAAAAUAAAUUUAAUAUGAUAAUGAUAUUUUUUUUUUGUUCUGUUUAUUCAGAAUGGACGUAUGUCAAGACAUUGUCUGGCCAGAGAGUAUGUUGUGCAAGUUAAAAAAUAUUAUUGGAUCAUUGUUGCCUUAAGAAACAUAAAAAUGAAUUUCUAAAUAAUAAAAAAAAGAAAUGAAUCCAUUCCAAUAUUUAAGAAAAACAAAUGAGUUAAGAAAUUUAAUUUUUUAAAAUAUGUACUAAUAUUUGAAAAUUCAAAUGAUAACAAAUAACAGUCUCGUAUAGUAUAUACUUAUUACGUGUUCCUUCUAAUGAUAUUUCAUAAUUGACAAUUACAUUUAAUUUAUAUAUUGAAAAAUAUUUCCAUCUCAAAUUUCACAUAAUAUUUUAUUAACAUUAUUAUAAUGACAUUUUAUAUUUUAUAACAAUUUCAAAAUUUUAUUACACUUGUAUAUAAUAUUUUACAAUUUUUUAUAAUUAUUUUUAAUAACCAUUAAAAAAAUAAUAAAUAAAAAGCCUAAUCAUUUAUAUCCAAUUUUUUCAAUAUCUAAAAUUUUGAAACCAUAUUUUAUCAUCUCAUAUCGCUGAUGUACUUGUAAUUAUAACUCUCGUUAUUAACUAUAAUUUAUUUUGUGAUUUUUCUUGUAUUCAUUAGACUAUAUUAAGAAAAAUAUACUUUUUUGGUAUACAAAAAAAAUAUAUUAAUUACAUUACAUCUAAAAUUACAUCAUCCGAGAUAAUACAAAUUUAACAAUUUUGGUUCAACCUAAGUUUUUUUUCUAUCUGUAGGCCCACUGUCCUUUAAAUUUUUUUAACAGUUUUAUUUUUAUCUUUUCUUCAUGCAAAAAUGAUUCCAAAAUCUUCCUUAACCUGUUUUUUGGUGAUCAGAUAAGUUUAUCUAUGUCCAAAUUUCAAAACCACCAGAUAUAAAAUAAAUAAAUAUUAUAAUUAUUUUGACUAACUAAAGUCAAUAGUGUUACUUAUAAGUUAGAAUGCACAUUUUCUGAAACAGGGGACCCACAACUGAACACGAUCAGAUAACACUCAUCCAAUAUACAAAACACUACUUCGAACACGGGUAUGACACGUUGCAUCAGCAAGUGCUGAAGAAUCUUUCGUUCAGCACGUUAGAAUUUUCCUCAUAAUAAACUUCCAUCUUAACCUGUUAUGUUUGAAACCAUAAAAAUGUGUACGAAGCAUUGAUUUUUAAACUAUAACAAGGAAAAAUAAUUCUCAAAUAUCCAAAUCUGACAGCCCAGGUACAUCAUCAGAUUCAUUUUCAGGGGACGCAUCACUGCAGAACUUGCAAGAAAUUUUCUCUGGUUUCAACUGCAAGCAUUCGUUGAUCUGUUCCUCUAACCAAGCAAGUCUUCUUUCGAGCUUCAACACACCAAUAUGCAUAAUCCGA
rnacentral:lncRNA from 1 species